UGCCACUCUUUGACUCUCUGCUUUCUGAUGG
rnacentral:piRNA from 1 species